rnacentral:SRP_RNA from 11 species
UGGCAGAGCCAUCGCCAGACGUGGCCUUUCAGCAUGCAAUGCAAGGGGACGACUGGAAGAUGAAUGCUGGGGGAAACGUCCCAGGCUGCAAUGGUGACGGAGCAUACAUCAGCCAGGGCAGGGAAAUG